rnacentral:rRNA from 1 species
AAACGCUUGAAGUCAGUCGCGUUUGCUAGGGAUCAACCUUGCUUUUGCUUGGUGUACUCUCUAGUUAACGGGCCAACAUCAAUUUUGACCAUUGGAAAAAGGCUGGAGAAAUGUGGCAUCUUCGGAUGUGUUAUAGUCUCUGGUCGUAUACAGUGGUUGGGAUUGAGGAACUCAGCACGCCGCAAGGCCAGGUUUCGACCAUGUUCGUGCUUAGGAUGUUGGCAUAAUGGCUUUAAUCGA